rnacentral:lncRNA from 1 species
CCACCGUUUACACCCUGGGUGUGGCUGAUUAUAAGAUAGGCCAGGUCAUUCUGAACUAGUAACCAGGCACCACUCUGGAGCUGAGUGGAGAAAGGCAUCCCAGGCGGCUUUCCCAGGGCCACCACAAGGACAGUCAUCUAACUUGCCCCCAAGUGAUUUGGGCCAACCCAUGGCCACUGCAGAAGUGACUGACAGCGUGUUGUAGAAAUCCCACCACACCAAAAGCGGGGGCGGAAGAGUUCCCCACUCCCUGAUAGUGGGCUGCUGGCUAGAGAAGGCUGUGGCCCUGACAGCCUGACAUUCUGCUGCCCCCAAAGCAUGGGGGCAAGACACUGUCCCCUGAGCCUGUGACCUGCUGCAUCCUCACCUCCUGGGUGGGGGUCCAAGCCACGUUCCCUCUCUGAAGAUAACAACAAUUGCCCACAGCCUGGACCGCAUGUUUGCAGUGGGUCAUGGAGUUUCUGAACAGCAUGGCCUAGUGGACAGAAUCGGAACACAAGGUGUCUUGAGGUGAAGUCUGUGGAGCCUCCACUAUGUGUGCAGGAGAAAAAAAAACAAUCAGUAUGGACAAGACUUUCAUGACUUGCCCUGGACCAAAGAUUAAAAACAACCUGGACAGGAGCCACGAGGGAAGGAAGCCGGGGACUCAACCAUGAGGCUGGGAGGUCAGGGAAGUCUCCCAGGGACAGACAGGCUCUCCCUGAGGAAGACUGUCAAGGAUCCACCACCUGUGCAGAAGCCAGAAAAAGUAAGUCGCAGUUCCGGUCCCGAUAUUGUCACAUCCCAAGGAGCCCACUGACCUUCACCAAGAGUGCCAUGAAGGCUGCGCCCCAUGACCUCCACCUGCCGAGGCAGAGAAGAGGGUGACAGAGGGGCAGAGUGAAGCCUGAGAAGGGUGGGGACUCACAGUGAUGUCCCCAGCACGCCCUUCCCACUCCCUGCACCCCUCAAAAUGAGGCUUCUCACCAAUUCACAGCCUGGGGUGGCCAGUUUCAGCAACUGUGAUGAUCUCUCCUGAAUAAAUGGGGCUCGCCUCUCAAUAUUCCACAGAGCAUGUAUAAGAUGCUAAGGACGGAGGCGCUCUGGAAAAGGAGCCCCGUGUUUUAGGGACCUGGCCCCGUCCCCAGGCUCCGGAUGCAGAUGUGGCUCCAUUUGGCCUCUCUGGAUCCCUGUCUCCUGGCAGGGACGAGGGGCUGGCUGGGGUUAGCUUCUAGGGAUGCGGGAGUCCUGGCAGGCACCGAACUGGGAGAGACACCCAGCCCAGUGAACACAGGGGCCAGGAGUCUGGAAGCAGGCUUCUGGGCCAGGGACCCACCCCAGGGGCCAUAGGCUGUGGUGAGGGCAGUAGCUGACGCAGGAGGCCCUGGGCCUGGGAUGGGGUGGGAACAGGCCUCCCUGGCCAAGGCUGGCCUCUGCGGUGCUCCAGAGUGGGCUCAGGGAGGCUGCAUCUGCAACCAGGUGGAUGCAGACAGUCAUCUGCAAAUGCUGGGACUGUUGCACAGCCCCCAGAGCAGGCCUCUUUCAACAGGGCUGGCCGCGGAAGAAACAAAGGGACAGAGACGAAGUCGUUGGCAUUUAGGGGAAAAACCAUGUCUGCAAACCAGGAGGAGUUUGCAUGUUUCUCACACAAAAGAUUCUCCCCUGUGGUGUGGGCUCCUCACUAGUCCUUUCAUUCCCCAGAUACACAUCUGGGAGUGGUCAGCACUGUGCCUGGUGCUGAGGCAACGACACCAUGGCCUUGCAC